rnacentral:rRNA from 1 species
UACGGGGGGGGUAAGCGUUGUUCGGAAUUACUGGGUGUAAAGGGUUCGUAGGCGGUGCGGCAAGUCGGGAGUGAAAUCUCUGGGCUUAACCCAGAGGCUGCUUCCGAAACUGCUGUGCUUGAGUGUGGGAGAGGCGCGUGGAAUUGCAGGUGUAGCGGUGAAAUGCGUAGAUAUCUGCAGGAACACCCGUGGCGAAAGCGGCGCGCUGGACCACUACUGACGCUGAGGAACGAAAGCUAGGGGAGCAAACAGG